UCGGCCUAGCUGCCUGGGGAAGAGUGCGGCUGGGAGACCUGCAGCGACCGACGGACGGAAGGAAAUUUUAUGGCGAGGAGCAGCCCGGGCCCGGCGUGAGGGAGCGCGCCCGACAUCCCAGCACUGGAGAGGCUGAGGCAGGAGGACUGCCGUGGGUUCGAGGCCAAGCUCGGGCCGCGUGAUGGCGUCGCAGGCCGGGCUGGCGAACGGAGUGGGAACCUGCCUUCGAAACAAACCAGCAAAGCAACGAAACGAGUCUGAACACCCUGGGCUUCCCCCCCUCCACUCCCCCAGGACCCAGGAGAGCCCCUGGGCGGAACCUGAGCACUGGGGUGGAGCCCUCUAGAGGAUGAAGUAAGAAGACCAUGAGUUUGAGGUCAUCCUAGACUAUACGGCAAGACGGGUCUUACAAACAGACGGAGCUGGUGAUUAAGAUCAUGUACUGCAAAGGACCUCAGUUAGGUUCCCAGUAUGCACUAACUCCCGCCACCACCGGGGACCCAGCGCCCUCUUCUGGUCAGCACAUGCACUGCUCUCAUGAAGACACAUUUAAAAAAAAAAUACACCUUUAAAACAGAUAAACUAUAACAUUUACCAGCUCAA